rnacentral:tRNA from 1 species
GGAAAGGUAAGCUAAUUUAAGCUACCAGGUUCAUACCCUGUUUAUAGAUAUAUAAUUCUCCUCUCCA